rnacentral:rRNA from 1 species
GACGAACGCUGGCGGCGUGCUUAACACAUGCAAGUCGAACGGAAAGGCCCUGCUUUUGUGGGGUGCUCGAGUGGCUAACGGGUGAGUAACACGUGAGUAACCUGCCCUUGACUUUGGGAUAACUUCAGGAAACUGGGGCUAAUACCGGCUAGGAGCUCCUGCUGCAUGGUGUGGGUUGGAAAGUUUCGGCGGUUGGGGCUGGACUCGCGGCUUAUCAGCUUGUUGGUGGGGUAGUGGCUUACCAAGGCUUUGACGGGUAGCCGGCCUGAGAGGGUGACCGGCCACAGUGGGACUGAGAUACGGGCCAGACUCCUACGGGAGGCAGCAGUGGGGAAUAUUGCACAAUGGGCGGAAGCCUGAUGCAGCAACGCCGCGUGGGGGAUGACGGCCUUCGGGUUGUAAACCGCUUUCGCCUGUGACGAAGCGUGAGUGACGGUAAUGGGUAAAGAAGCACCGGCUAACUACGUG